rnacentral:rRNA from 1 species
GAUGAACGCUGGCGGCGUGCCUAAUACAUGCAAGUCGAGCGAACAGACGAUGAGCUUUCUCCUCUGACGUUAGCGGCGGACGGGUGAGUAACACGUGGAUAACCUACCUAUAAGACUUGGAUAACUUCGUGAAACCGGAGCUAAUACCGGAUCAUAUAUUGAACCGCAUGGUUCAAUAGUUAAUGACGGUUUUGCUGUCACUUAUAGAUGGUUCCGCGCCGCAGUAGCUAGUUGGUAAGGUAACGGCUUACCAAGGCGACGAUGCGUAGCCGACCUGAGAGGAUGAUCAGACAGACGGGAAAUGAGACAGGGUCCAGACUCCUACGGGAGGCAGAAGUGGGGAAUAGUGGACAAUGGGCGCAAGCCUGAUCAAGACAUAACGCGUGGGUGAAGAAGGCCUUCGGGUUGUAAAGCACUUGUGUUGGGAAAGAAAAGUAGAAGGUUAAUAACCCGAUGUUCUGAAGGUACCCAAAGAAUAAGCACCGGCUAACUUCGUG